rnacentral:rRNA from 1 species
AUUGAACGCUGGCGGCAUGCCUUACACAUGCAAGUCGAACGGCAGCACGGGUGCUUGCACCUGGUGGCGAGUGGCGAACGGGUGAGUAAUAUAUCGGAACGUACCUUAUUGUGGGGGAUAACGCAGCGAAAGCUGUGCUAAUACCGCAUAAUCCCUAAGGGGGAAAGCGGGGGACCGUAAGGCCUCGCGCAAUUAGAGCGGCCGAUACCUGAUUAGCUAGUUGGUAGGGUAAAGGCUCAAUAAGGCAACGAUCAGUAGCUGGUCUGAGAGGACGAUCAGCCACACUGGGACUGAGACACGGCCCAGACUCCUACGGGAGGCAGCAGUGGGGAAUUUUGGACAAUGGGGGCAACCCUGAUCCAGCAAUGCCGCGUGAGUGAAGAAGGCCUUCGGGUUGUAAAGCUCUUUUGUCAGGGAAGAAACAGCAGCUCUAACACAGUUUGCGAAUGACGGUACCUGAAGAAUAAGCACCGGCUAACUACGUGCCAGCCGCCGCCGUAA